rfam:Heterocephalus glaber contig217802, whole genome shotgun sequence.
UGGGGCAUGAACCUGGCAUACAAUGUAGAUUUCUGUGUUUGUUGGGCAACAGCUACAUUGUCUGCUGGGUUUCAGGCUACCUGG